CAGUCGGCAACAGCAGAGGAUAGACGUGCUGUUACUACAAGCAGUUAUACAGAGUCAUUCUCUCAUGAUACUUUAUAAACCUUUUUUUUUUUCAGUUUUCUAGGUUCGCAGUUCACUACACUGAUGAAAAUGGAACAUCUAAAAACCUUAAAAGCUUUUCAGAGCAGAGUAAAUAUUGGACUUCCAUUCACAGUCCAGUUUUCACAUUAUGUUCCUAUAUAGCUUAACUGCUUUCUCAUUUGUGCUUUCUCAGAAACGUAAGAAGAAUAUUUUAGCACAUACGGUCCAGUUGGAUAUACAGCCUGGAGGAACCACAAAGUCUCUGCAAGAGGCUGAGAGGGGAAGAUGCAGGCACAGGUUAGCGACCAAGCUUCUCUGGUGUUGUACCUGUAAGAGUGGCAGAGUUGAUUGGCUGGUUCGUCACUCGUCCAGACCUCUACACAACUAUUGGAAGAAGACCCUCUCUGAUGUCCACAGGAGUGUCUUGUAUGCUUCCCUGUCAUGGGCAUAGACAGCACCGCCCCCUUCCGGCCAUACGUUCCCCUUACCGGUGUGUUGCCGGUCUGUGGGGCUCUCUGCAGCUGCUAAUCAGUGGAUUGGUCGAGCUGCGGGAGCCCCAUACCUGUAGCACAAUUCCAUCUGCUGCUAUAGAAACUGGCUUCACACAUCAGAGGACGUGGGACCAUACUGGAUUAUUGCACUACUGCCUUGUUUCCUAUAUCUUGUUCUGAGAGGGCGCUGUAGCGCUGAGCAGCCGAUCUCUCCUCUGCCGUCCUUGGGGAAAGGACGGAGACCCCUGCUGCCCUCUAAGGAAAGGACUUUGUGAGUGUUUUGCCUGAGUGGCAUAAUUGUUUUGUUUUUUUUUAGAAUAAAUCCUG